AGAACGAACGCUGGCGGCAUGCCUAAUACAUGCAAGUCGAACGAACACUUCGGUGUUAGUGGCGCACGGGUGCGUAACGCGUGGGAAUCUGCCCUUGGGUUCGGAAUAACAGUUGGAAACGACUGCUAAUACCGGAUGAUGACGAAAGUCCAAAGAUUUAUCGCCCAGGGAUGAGCCCGCGUAGGAUUAGCUAGUUGGUGAGGUAAAGGCUCACCAAGGCGACGAUCCUUAGCUGGUCUGAGAGGAUGAUCAGCCACACUGGGACUGAGACACGGCCCAGACUCCUACGGGAGGCAGCAGUGGGGAAUUUGGACAAUGGGCGAAAGCCUGAUCCAGCCAUGCCGCGUGCAGGGUGAAGGCCUUCGGGUUGUAAACUGUCUUUGUACGG
rnacentral:rRNA from 1 species